rnacentral:rRNA from 1 species
ACGAACCGUCCAAACGUUAUUCGGAAUCACUGGGCUUAAAGGGUGCGUAGGCGGCCGUACAAGUCGGGUGUGAAAUCCCUCGGCUCAACCGAGGAAUUGCGCCCGAAACUGUGCGGCUAGAGGGAGACAGAGGUGAGCGGAACUGGCGGUGGAGCGGUGAAAUGCGUUGAUAUCGCCAGGAACACCAGUGGCGAAGGCGGCUCACUGGGUCUCUUCUGACGCUGAGGCACGAAAGCUAGGGGAGCGAACGGG